CGUGAGCGGCGGACGGGGGAGUAACGCGUGGGUAACCUGCCUCGUACAGGGGGAUAACAGUUGGAAACGGCUGCUAAUACCGCAUAAGCGCACAGUACCGCAUGGUACGGUGUGAAAAACUCCGGUGGUAUGAGAUGGACCCGCGUCUGAUUAGGUAGUUGGUGGGGUAACGGCCUACCAAGCCGACGAUCAGUAGCCGACCUGAGAGGGUGACCGGCCACAUUGGGACUGAGACACGGCCCAA
rnacentral:rRNA from 1 species